UCUUCAUUCCCUUCACUCUAUAUUAUGGUGAUUCACUAUAUAGUACAAUCAUGGGCGCCGUACCAACUGUUGUUUCCCGAGUUCAGCUGUCAAAGUUAGCUCAGAGCCUCGUGCAGGUGGGAUUGGGUCGCUAAUUAGAUCCAAAAAUCAGUAGCUCAAGGAUAUUCCACAAGGUACUAGUUCACAGCUUCGUACAAGAGCACUUGCGGUUGUAGAUGUCCUCUUUCACACAUUGUAAGGACAUCAUUCCAGCCGCCAAUUACCU
rnacentral:lncRNA from 1 species